UUGAACGCUGGCGGCAUGCCUUACACAUGCAAGUCGAACGGUAACGCGGGGCAACCUGGCGACGAGUGGCGAACGGGUGAGUAAUGCAUCGGAACGUGCCCAGUAGUGGGGGAUAGCCCGGCGAAAGCCGGAUUAAUACCGCAUACGACCUACGGGUGAAAGCGGGGGACCGUAAGGCCUCGCGCUAUUGGAGCGGCCGAUGUCAGAUUAGGUAGUUGGUGGGGUAAAGGCCUACCAAGCCUACGAUCUGUAGCUGGUCUGAGAGGACGACCAGCCACACUGGGACUGAGACACGGCCCAGACUCCUACGGGAGGCAGCAGUGGGGAAUUUUGGACAAUGGGCGCAAGCCUGAUCCAGCCAUGCCGCGUGCGGGAAGAAGGCCUUCGGGUUGUAAACCGCUUUUGUCAGGGAAGAAACGCCUUGAGAUAAUACCUCGGGGUAAUGACGGUACCUGAAGAAUAAGCACCGGCUAACUACGU
rnacentral:rRNA from 1 species